rnacentral:tRNA from 1 species
GGGAAUGUGGCUUAGUGGUAGAGUGCCUGCCUAGAAUGCAGGAAGCCAUGGGUUUGAUUCUUCAGGACCA